rnacentral:rRNA from 1 species
GAUCCGUGGCNCGAGGACGAACGCUGGCGGCGUGCUUAACACAUGCAAGUCGAACGAGGUUUACUGGAGAGCUUGCUCGAAGGUAAAGCGAGUGGCGGACGGGUGAGUAACGCGUGAACAAUCUGUCUCACACAGGGGGAUAACGCAUCGAAAGAUGUGCUAAUACCGCGUAGGACCACAGCAUCGCAUGGUGCAGAGGUGAAAGGAGGAAUCCGGUGUGAGGUGAGUUCGCGUCUGAUUAGAUAGUUGGUNAGGUAACGGCUCACCAAGUCAACGAUCAGUAGCCGACCUGAGAGGGUGAUCGGCCACAUUGGGACUGAGACACGGCCCAGACUCCUACGGGAGGCAGCAGUGGGGAAUAUUGGGCAAUGGGCACAAGCCUGACCCAGCAACGCCGCGUGAAGGAAGAAGGUUUUCGGAUCGUAAACUUCUGUCCUAUAUGAAGAUAAUGACGGUAGUAUAGGAGGAAGCCCCGGCUAACUACGUGCC